rnacentral:rRNA from 1 species
GACAGAGGGUGCAAACGUUGCUCGGAAUCACUGGGCGUAAAGGGCGUGUAGGCGGGACGGUAAGUCGGGCGUGAAAUCCCUAGGCUCAACCUAGGAACUGCACUCGAAACUACCAUUCUUGAGUGUCGGAGAGGAAAGCGGAAUUCCUGGUGUAAGAGGUGAAAUUCGUAGAUAUCAGGAGGAACACCAGUGGCGAAGGCGGCUUUCUGGACGAUAACUGACGCUGAGACGCGAAAGCGUGGGGAGGCAAACAGG